rnacentral:rRNA from 1 species
GACGAACGCUGGCGGCGUGCUUAACACAUGCAAGUCGAACGAAGUGGCGAACGGGUGAGUAACGCGUAAUCAACCUGCCCUUCAGAGGGGGACAACAGUUGGAAACGACUGCUAAUACCGCAUACUGAAGAAGGGGUUUGCGUUUGAUUGGCUAGUUGGGGGGGUAACGGCCCACCAAGGCGAUGAUCAGUUGCCGGUCUUAGGGGAUGAACGGCCACAUGUGGACUGAGACACCGCCCAGACUCCUACGGGAGGCAGCAGUGGGGAAUCAUCCGCAAUGGACGAAAGUCUGACGGAGCAACGCCGCGUGAGUGGUGACGGCCUUCGGGUUGGAAAGCUCUGUUAAUCGGGACGCGGUACCGGAAUAGAAAGCCACGGCUAACUACGUGCCAGCAGCCGCGGUAAUAC